rnacentral:rRNA from 1 species
CCUACGGGAGGCUGCAGUGGGGAAUAUUGGACAAUGGGGGCAACCCUGAUCCAGCCAUGCCGCGUGUGUGAGGAAGGCCCUCGGGUUGUAAAGCACUUUCAGUGAGGAAGAACGCCUGGUGGUUAAUACCCAUCAGGAAAGACAUCACUCACAGAAGAAGCACCGGCUAACUCCGUGCCAGCAGCCGCGGUAAUACGGAGGGUGCGAGCGUUAAUCGGAAUUACUGGGCGUAAAGCGCGCGUAGGUGGCUUGAUAAGCCGGUUGUGAAAGCCCCGGGCUCAACCUGGGAACGGCAUCCGGAACUGUCAAGCUAGAGUGCAGGAGAGGAAGGUAGAAUUCCCGGUGUAGCGGUGAAAUGCGUAGAGAUCAGGAGGAAUACCAGUGGCGAAGGCGGCCUUCUGGACUGACACUGACACUGAGGUGCGAAAGCGUGGGUAGCAAACAGGAUUAGAUACCCUGGUAGUC